AUAAUAAUAAUAAUAAUAAUAAACUCUGUUAAAAAACUCUCUAUCGCCUGGAAUCCUUGUGGAAAUGUUUUUGGUUUAUGCAAAUAUUUUUCUGACGACUGAUUGAUCGUGCAGAUGGACGAUUGGUGGCAUGUCAAAGAUGGAAGCAUCCUGCAUUAAAAUUUCCUCCUUGGUGAUUUGGAUCAAUAAGUUCUCAUGUCAUUGAGACUCAAAUCUCUGAUAAAUUUCUUCUUGUUUGUCUGGAUAUGGCACUUAUAUCUGAGAUGUUCUGUAGAUUUUUAGUUUGCUGCCUUGUAAUUUUGGUAACUUGGUAACCCUAUCUGCUUAUCAUGUUACUUAAUGUUUUAGAUUUUGUGCCUGUUUAGCAUUAUGUCUGGGAGUUCAAAACUGUUUUUCUGAAUAAAAACAUCAUUUUAGAUGUUAUUGAGGGAAGCAGUUUGGAAAAAUUUGUUUUGUUAUUUUAGUGUUCUUA
rnacentral:misc_RNA from 1 species